rnacentral:lncRNA from 1 species
GGUGGCGCCCUUGGCCACGAAGCUGAUGGCGUUGUACGCCCUCAUCGGCGCGCUCAGAGAGAAGCUCGCCGCGGCCGGGGAAGCGGCAGCGGCGGCGGCGGCGCCGAGCCGGACGGCCUCGCCGGGGGAGAACGCCGCCGCGCCGAGGAUGUAGCAGCCGGGGCGAGCCAGCGACUCCAAGGAGAUGGUGCCGUUGUUACCGUCCAGCCCGGCGACGACGCGGAAGGUGGAGUCCGCCGGUGCCGCGUCGGCGGCGGCGGCGACGGUGAGGACCCCGUCUGGUGCCGCCGGCGCCGCCACCACCAUGCCGGGGAGGUCGAGGGGCUCGAGCAUCACUAGCUGCUCCGGCGCCGGCGAAGCGCUCGCCGGGACGAGGCGGAAGGUGGCGUGGACGGCGGCGUCGGAGCCCUCGCGGGGGAGCGCCGCCAUGGCGAUGGAGCCGUUCGAGUAGGAGAGGACCAGAG